rnacentral:miRNA from 1 species
CUUGCAAGCGGCUAGCAACC